GAUGAACGCUGGCGGCGUGCCUAAUACAUGCAAGUCGAGCGAACAGACGGGGAGCUUGCUCCUCUGACGUUAGCGGCGGACGGGUGAGUAACACGUGGAUAACCUACCUAUAAGACUGGGAUAACUUCGGGAAACCGGAGCUAAUACCGGAUAAUAUAUUGAACCGCAUGGUUCAUUAGUGAAAGACGGUUUUGCUGUCACUUAUAGAUGGAUCCGCGCCGCAUUAGCUAGUUGGUAAGGUAACGGCUUACCAAGGCGACGAUGCGUAGCCGACCUGAGAGGGUGAUCGGCCACACUGGAACUGAGACACGGUCCAGACUCCUACGGGAGGCAGCAGUAGGGAAUCUUCCGCAAUGGGCGAAAGCCUGACGGAGCAACGCCGCGUGAGUGAUGAAGGUCUUCGGAUCGUAAAACUCUGUUAUUAGGGAAGAACAAAUGUGUAAGUAACUAUGCACGUCUUGACGGUACCUAAUCAGAAAGCCACGGCUAACUACGUG
rnacentral:rRNA from 1 species